ACAACAUCAUUAUGACGAGAACUCAUAACGAGCAAGUGAGCAGCACGGACCGUUUGAGAUGCUGGAGCGACGAGAGAUUGUACUGAUUUUUAUCAUCAUCAAUCAUCAAGAUGAAGCACCGCCUGUUGUUGGUUCCUCGACUUAAUGGAUGUCUAUGCAAGUGGUCUGUACAGUUCAAACACACUGUUUGAGCAACAUUUGUUCUUCCUAGAACUGCCUUCACAAUAAUCGCCACUUUACAGCUCUUAUAUUUCUAUAUGUUUCUGCU